rnacentral:rRNA from 1 species
UACGGGAGAAAGCAGGGGACCUUCGGGCCUUGCGCUAUCAGAUGAGCCUAGGUCGGAUUAGCUAGUUGGUGAGGUAAUGGCUCACCAAGGCGACGAUCCGUAACUGGUCUGAGAGGAUGAUCAGUCACACUGGAACUGAGACACGGUCCAGACUCCUACGGGAGGCAGCAGUGGGGAAUAUUGGACAAUGGGCGAAAGCCUGAUCCAGCCAUGCCGCGUGUGUGAAGAAGGUCUUCGGAUUGUAAAGCACUUUAAGUUGGGAGGAAGGGCAUUUACCUAAUACGUAAGUGUUUUGACGUU